rnacentral:rRNA from 1 species
UACAGAGGGUGCAAGCGUUAAUCGGAAUUACUGGGCGUAAAGCGUGCGUAGACGGUCAUGUAAGUCGGGUGUGAAAGCCCCGGGCUCAACCUGGGAACUGCAUCUGUGACUGCAUCGCUGGAGUGCGGCAGAGGGGGAUGGAAUUCCGCGUGUAGCAGUGAAAUGCGUAGAUAUGCGGAGGAACACCGAUGGCGAAGGCAAUCCCCUGGGCCUGCACUGACGCUCAUGCACGAAAGCGUGGGGAGCAAACAGG